UACGUAGGGGGCGAGCGUUGUCCGGAUUUAUUGGGCGUAAAGAGCUCGUAGGCGGUUUGGUAAGUCGGAUGUGAAAUCUCCACGCUCAACGUGGAGGGGCCAUUCGAUACUGCCGUGACUCGAGUCCGGUAGGGGAGUGUGGAAUUCCCGGUGUAGCGGUGAAAUGCGCGGAGAUCGGGAGGAACACCCGUAGCGAAGGCGGCACUCUGGGCCGGUACUGACGCUGAGGAGCGAAAGCGUGGGGAGCGAACAGG
rnacentral:rRNA from 1 species